AUUUGGAAGUGCUCGCAAGAGAACCGGAACACAGGUGCUGCAUGGCUGUCGUCAGCUCGUGUCGUGAGAUGUUGGGUUAAGUCCCGCAACGAGCGCAACCCUUGUCAUUAGUUGCUACGAAAGGGCACUCUAAUGAGACUGCCGGUGACAAACCGGAGGAAGGUGGGGAUGACGUCAAGUCCUCAUGGCCCUUAUGGGUAGGGCUUCACACGUCAUACAAUGGUCGGGACAGAGGGUCGCCAACCCGCGAGGGGGAGCCAAUCCCAGAAACCCGAUCGUAGUCCGGAUCGCAGUCUGCAACUCGACUGCGUGAAGUCGGAAUCGCUAGUAAUCGCGGAUCAGCAUGUCGCGGU
rnacentral:rRNA from 1 species